rnacentral:rRNA from 1 species
UGGGGAAUAUUGGACAAUGGGCGCAAGCCUGAUCCAGCCAUGCCGCGUGAGUGAUGAAGGCCUUAGGGUUGUAAAGCUCUUUCGCCGGUGAAGAUAAUGACGGUAACCGGAGAAGAAGCCCCGGCUAACUUCGUGCCAGCAGCCGCGGUAAUACGAAGGGGGCUAGCGUUGCUCGGAAUCACUGGGCGUAAAGCGCACGUAGGCAGAUCGUUAAGUCAGGGGUGAAAUCCUGGAGCUCAACUCCAGAACUGCCCUUGAUACUGGCGAUCUCGAGUUCGAGAGAGGUUGGUGGAACUCCGAGUGUAGAGGUGAAAUUCGUAGAUAUUCGGAAGAACACCAGUGGCGAAGGCGGCCAACUGGCUCGAUACUGACGCUGAGGUGCGAAAGCGUGGGGAGCAAAACAGGAUUAGAUACCCUGGUAGUCCACGCCGUAAAACGAUGGAUGCUAGCCGUUGGGGGGUUUACCUCUCAGUGGCGCAGCUAACGCCUUAAGCAUCCCGCCUGGGGAGUACGGUCGCAAGAUUAAAAACUCAAAUGAAUUGACGGGGUCAUAGCUGUUUCCU